GGAAACGUAUAAACCGUUUGGGGUUAGAGAGUGGCGGAACGGGUGGAGUAACACGUAGGUAAUCCUACCCUACGAAAAACGGGGACAAACCCAGGGAAAACUUUGGGCUAAAUACCGGAUCGGCGGUGCAAAGCUAAUGUUUUUGGCUGUUAAUGCUAUUCACGGAAGUGAGUAGUGUUAAUGGUUGAGAGCAUUAUUUGCAUGAAAGGUGGCGUAAGCUGCCGUUUGGGGAUGAGCCUGCGCUCUAUUAGUUAGUUGGCGGGGUAAAGGCCCACCAAGGCGAUGAUAGAUAGGCGGCCUUAACGGGUGGUCGCCCACACUGGGAUUGAGAUACGGCCCAGACUCCUACGGGAGGCAGCAGUCGAGAAUAGUCUACAAUGGCCGAAAAGGCUGAUAGUGCGACGCCGCGUGAACGAAGAAGCCCUUCGGGGUGUAAAGUUCUUUUAUAUGUGAGCAGUGCUUUCUAUGUGAACAGCAUGGGGAGAGAGAUAUUAGCAUAUGAAUAAGCAACGGCUAACUCCGUG
rnacentral:rRNA from 1 species